UGAAUGGAUAAAGAUGUGGUGUAUAUAUAUACAAAGGAAUAUUAUGCAGCCAUCAAAAAAUCUGUCAAUGUUCUUAAAUGGCUAACUUAGCCUCCUCCUGAAUUAUUUAUAUCUCACUAUCCUGUCAAUUAAAAACCUAAUCCCAUCUGAACAAAUUGGAAACUAUUUCAUGUUAUUUAUUUAUAGUCUUCUUUAGAUCUUUUGAAGUCUAUUUUGAUGUACAUUUCAUAAAAAUUAUAGCAUUAUUAAUAUGUUUUGAUAUUUUCUUAUUACAGUUUUCUAUAACCAUCAUAAUAUGUGGCUAAGAAUAAUAGAUUUUUUUCAUCCAUGUCUCAUGUCUCUCAAUUACAUAUGAUUUGGGCAAUAUUGAAAACAAGAGAACCAUUGUAUCACCUAUCAAUACUGAUAUACUCUUUAAAAAUGUCUAUCUUAGCUCAGUAGCGAUAAAUUAGUAAAAUAUAGGUUCAAAGGGUAAUUUAUUCAAAAGUUUGUUAGCAUUGCACUUUAAGGAUAAUAUGAUGGUUUUGUUUACUAUUGUCUAUAUGGUUUGAACUUGAAUGUUAAAUGUUGGAUUGAAAUGGAGCUUGAUCAAACAGCCUGUGUGUGAAUGUAAAGGAGUUUGCCUUACAAAAGACACAUUGGUAAUCAUGUUAUGGUCUAAAGCAGUGAAAGGCAUCUCUAGAUCUUGGUACUCAGUUGAAUUAUUUACUUGUAAGUGAUAGUACUGGUGGUCAAGUGAGCAGUCUCACAAUUUGUCAAUAACUUAGUCUUGCUUUUAAUAUGUCAUAUAUAAUUCAUAUGUAUAGGUAACAUCUAGGACAGUUACUUUCUUAUUUAAUAUUUUUCUGUUAAUUUCCUGUUGUCAGUAGAGGAAGGAAAGAAAACUAAUUUUUGCUUGCCAAUGAAAAAUCCAGGGUUUUGUUUCUCAGUAUAAAACUGUCAGUGUGUCUGAAGUGGAGUUUUGCUGAAGAAAUCCCUUUUUAAUCAGGAAGGUGCGGUCUGGCCCUUCCUUGAAACAACAGAAAAGUAAGUAUAAAAAAGAAUUGAAUUUUUUCAAUUGAUUCAAUUCAAAUGAGCAACACAUUUACAUAGGACUUUAUCCACAAGUCCGACUAAAUAAUGAUCAGCUCUACUACUUAAAUGGGACAGUAGUUUCUUGGAAACUGAGAAAUUACUCAGGGAAGGAUAAAUAGAAUGGAGGUUCCUCCCACCUGACCCUCUGCCAAUUUUCAUGUUUAUUCUUACUUCUUUAUACUUGCAGAGUCUAACACAUUUAUUCUUCCCACAGGAGUUACUCUGAUAUGCAUUAGACGUUAAUAUGCACAUCUAAAUGAGGAGUCAGGUUUCAAGUUACAAUAAAAACCCCUUGUAAAGAAUUUUCUCCUGAAUUCAGAUCUUUAAAACAGCCACAGCAGAUUAAAUUAUUUUUUAAGGAAGUAGCAUGUUCUGUCAUACUUGUGGCUCUGCUCCUGCGUUGACAGUGCUGCUGGGCUGCUUAAGACAUGACAGACUGACCGUGGGAGGAACAAGGACAUUUUGAUACUGCUGUGCCCACUGGAACAAACCUGACGAGAGCCAGGACUUUCUGUGGAUGAGCAGGUGUUCACAUCUGCAUUUCUGAAUCUGGAAUUCAUCUUUAAAGAAUAUUGUUUAAGACAAGAGAUGAGAAAUGCUAUUGCCUACUCCUGUCUGAAGUUGUAAAGACUCUCCGAUUUAACAAUUUGUAGCAAUAAGAAAGGUUUGUCAUACAGAUAAUCUGCAUCUGGAUUUUGCUUCUCUUUAUUUGGUGCCUAACUCUGUGCCGUUCUCUGCUUUUCUUGUCUCCCUAGGUCAUAAUUUUUGUUCUGAAGUAUGCACGUGCUUCAUGGAAUCUGUGGAUCCACUGAGCUUAUAUGCAUAUGCUGUAUGAAUAGGCAUUUUUUUCUGAAGAUCCAUAUUUUCAUGAGAUUUUCAAAGAGAAAUGAGACUGAAUAAAUUUGAGAAUUCCUGUUCUAUCUUUAUAUGUCAGCCUUAUUCUAUCUCAUCAACUGCUUUCUCUUCACUUGCAUCUUUCUCUCUCCAUAAUAUGGGUAGAAAAUAUAUGAACA